UCAGCAACCUAAUCCAAUCGCGGCGGCAGGGGCGGCUCGCGUACCUUAAUUCUAAAUGCGGCAUUACCGUGCAAUAUCUAACGAUAUUUUACCGGGUUACCGCGAUGUGUGAUUACCUAUCAAAAUCGGACCUAUGAUAAAAACGUAAAUAAACAUAGGUUGACGUCGGAUUAUUAAUUAGUUCGAAAUACGAAGUUCGAAAAAAACAAGUGUAAUAUAUUUGUAUUGAACAUUCGUUAGUCACUGCGCAGUAGCCGCGUCCAAACGAAAAUACGGAACGGAUCAUGAGCAAUGCAAAUUGCAUAAGAGAGAAAUUAUAAUAUUGGCAGUUGUUUUAGAUCGACGACGAUACAAAAGGACGAACACGGCAGAAUGAAUAAUAAUAACAAAACUGUUUUGCCGCGGGUAGCGUAACGGCCGAAAUCAGAAAUCGCCGUGGAUAUCAUACGCGACACCGUUAAUAACCAACGCACGGCGAAUGGUUGGAUGUUUUCAAUUGUAUGGUAACAAGCGGUAACUUCGGUUAUC